rnacentral:lncRNA from 1 species
GAGAAGACAAAAUCCUCUUUAUUUUGUGCAGAUGUGUCUUUGAAUAUUUGUUGGUUUUUCUUCUUGCAACUUGAGUUGAGAGCGGACAUCUAAGAAGUUUAUACAGUUCUGGAUAAAUUACUAGAAACUGGAUAUUACUGUAUUUAUUUUAUUUUAAACAUAAAAAGUUAGAUUUGCUAUGCACCCCUCAGCAUGAAUGUUCUGGUUUUCUAGUUUUGUGUACACUCCAGGGUCUGGCUUUAUUUGUUAUUUUUUUUAAAGAUUUUAUUUAUUUAGUCAUAGACACAGAGAGACAGAGGCAGAGACACAGGCAGAGGGAGAAGCAGACUCCACACAGGGAGCCUGAUGUGGGACUCGAUCCCGGGUCUCCAGGAUCACACCCCAGGCUGCAGGCGGUGCCAAACCGCUGCGCCACUGGGGCUGCCCCAGAGUCUGGCUUUAGAAGUUCCAGAUGUCUGCUGGUGGGUGGGAUUGCCUGUGUAAUUCUCAUUUCCCUGUGAUUCUGUAUCUCUCAGGUCUCUCUGUCUCUCACUUAUGCACCCUCUCUGUCUCUUGCAGAGAUAAACUUCAAGGAGCCAAUGUCCUUCUGUGUGCCACCAUGACAUCUGAGCUUUGUGGCAGCCUUUCCCCUCAUGGUCCCAAGAUGGUUUUCAACACCUCCUGGGGAUACCACUCUUCAUUUUGGGCCUCACCUGGAAACCACUGAUCUGUUCUUGGUCUUUAUAAUUUUUUGCCUUCCGAAGAUACCUUUUUAAACAACAAGAAAAUGCCGCAGAUAUAACAUGGUAGUAUUUUGAAUUUCCAGAAAAUAGUGAUCAAAAACUACCCUGGAUUCAGGUAAGCUUUAGAAUGAGGUUACAUUAAUCAGUCACUACACUAUCGACAUCCUUUUGAAAAAUGGCAUUAUUUGUGUGUGAGAGGCCUUGCUCUUUUGUUUAUGGGUUAUUCCUGGAACACUUAUUGAACCAUAAUCUCCCUGAAAUAAUUUACAGCCUACAUGCUGGCAACCACGGUGGUUCUGUCAAACUCAGGGAAUCUCACAGGCUUUGAAGAAAGGAAGCACAGACCUAGGCUCUGCCUGCAACCCUGGUGAGCUGGUCCUACAAAGCUGGAGCAGACUUUACAGUCCGGCCUGUGCACUCAGUCCCAGUACAAACAUCAAGGACUGAAGAGAGAGAUUAAAAGGUCCUCACAAGUUUAAUUUUUUUACUUUUCAGAUCAAACAUUCUUCCAUUUUGUAUGGGGAAUAUUAAAAACAAAUGAUAUGUCAAAUUGUUGAGAGAACCAACCUUAGUGGGUGUUCUUUGUGUUUAUCUUAGUGUUAAAAUGGAUGAGAGUUUAUAGAAAAGAAUGUGCUCUGGAUAAAGAACUCAUAUACUUGUCCAAUGAAGGGAUACUGGUGCUGUGAACACAUCCUCCAUGGCUAUGGUGAUGGAUGUAGGGAUAUGGGCCAAGGUCCAGUUGGUACCGGGUGUCUGGCAGGAUGGUAGUGGGCAGCCUUCUCUACACAAUUUGGCUAGCAUUUGUAUUGCUGGAUGCUCUGCUGGCUCAGCAAGGCAGAGAACAUAUUAAAAAAAAAAAGAAAAGAAAGUUUGCAUUUCUAAUAUGUCAUUAGAUCCGACACAGCCUCUCUGAAUAUUUCUGCCUUCAUCACAAUUUCCUAUUCAUGGACUGUCACUCCUGCUCCUCUCAUUCCUUGCCACUCA